AGUGAACGCUGGCGGUAGGCCUAACACAUGCAAGUCGAACGGCAGCACAGUAAGAGUUUGCUCUUACGGUGGGCGGGUGGCGGACGGGUGAGGAAAACAUCGGAACCUACUUUUUGGUGGGGGUUAACGUAGGGAAACUUACGCUAAUACCGCAUACAACCUACGGGGGAAGGCAGGGGAUCUUCGAACCUGGCGGGAUUGAAGGAGCGGAUGCCGGAUUAGUUAGUUGGGGGGGUAAAGGCCCACCAAGGCGAGGAUCCGUAGCUGGUCUGAGAGGAUGAUCGGCCACACUGGAACUGAGACACGGUCCAGACUCCUACGGGAGGCAGCAGUGGGGAAUAUUGGACAAUGGGCGCAAGCCUGAUCCAGCCAUACCGCGUGGGUGAAGAAGGCCUUCGGGUUGUAAAGCCCUUUUGUUGGGAAAGAAAAGCAGCAGGUUAAUACCCCGCUGUUCUGACGGUACCCAAAGAAUAAGCACCGGCUAACUUCGUG
rnacentral:rRNA from 1 species